CCUGUCAUGUGGUCGCGCGGAGGCAUCCGCAAUUACACGGGAAUGUUUUCCUAGAGAUGUCAGCCUACAAAGGACACAAUCUCUCUUCCUCAAAUUCCGCCCCAAAAUGUCCUUUCCCAACAGCUCUCCUGCCGCUAAUACUUUUUUAGUAGAUUCUCUCAUCAGUGCGUGCAGGAGUGACAGUUUCUACUCCAACAGCGCCAGCAUGUAUAUGCCACCUAGCACAGACAUUGGGACGUAUGGGAUGCAAACCUGUGGACUCCUUCCGUCUCUGGCUAAGAGAGAAGUUAAUCACCAAAAUAUGGGUAUGAAUGUACAUCCUUAUAUACCUCAAGUAGACACUUGGACAGACCCGAACAGAUCUUGUCGAAUAGAGCAACCUGUUACACAGCAGGUCCCCACUUGUUCCUUCACUACAAAUAUUAAAGAAGAAAGCAAUUGCUGCAUGUAUUCCGAUAAGAGAUCCAAACUCAUUUCUGCAGACGUCCCUUCCUACCAGAGGCUGGUGUCUGAAUCAUGCCCCAUUGAGAACCCCGAGGUUCCCGUCCCAGGAUAUUUUAGACUGAGCCAGACCUACGCCACUGGGAAAACCCAAGAGUACAAUAAUAGCCCUGAAACGAGUUCAACUGUAAUGUUACAGUUAAACCCUCGCGGCAGCUCCAAACCGCAGAUAUCUGCUCAACUUCAGCUGGAAAAGAAAAUGAAUGAAAGCCCGAACAACCAAGACAGCACAGCUAAAGUCUCUCAAGUGGAAAGUCCCGAGCCCAAGUCCACGUUGCAAGAGGAGCGGAGCUGUCUGCCCGAAGGCUCCGUGUCCAGCCCAGAAGUCCAGGAGAAGGAGAGUAAAGAGGAAAUCAAGUCUGAUACUCCAACAAGCAAUUGGCUAACUGCAAAGAGUGGCAGAAAGAAGAGGUGUCCUUAUACUAAACACCAAACACUGGAAUUAGAGAAAGAGUUCUUAUUCAAUAUGUAUCUCACUCGAGAGCGCCGUCUAGAGAUCAGUAAGAGCGUAAACCUCACUGACAGGCAGGUCAAGAUUUGGUUUCAAAACCGCAGAAUGAAGCUCAAGAAGAUGAGCAGGGAGAACCGAAUCCGGGAACUGACCGCUAAUCUGACCUUCUCUUAAACCCUAACCCCGGGGGGGGCACCAGUGAGGAAUGGGCACAGCACCACCACUUGAUAAAGGCAGGAGAGACUCUGGCAAAACCCGGCAUUUUCCAGUUUUGUUUUGUUUUGUUUUGUUUUCUGAUAGAAUGUGACUCUUCGUCCUUCUUUUAGCGCUGCAAGUGAAUAUGUAUUACUAUGAUGAGUAUAUAUAAAACCUAGCACGUGUAAUUUAUUUUUGUUCUCAUCGUAAUGCAGGGUAACUAUUAUUGAAUAUUAUCAUUUGGUCUUAACUUAUUGGAACUGUCGAACAUCCAAGCAAUGUGACUUUUUCAUGUUUUUACUAACAAAAUGGUAUUUAUGUGGGGCUGUUACACGGGCCAUAACAUUUUGAGUACAUUCAAUACUUUCAGAAAAAGAGCGGGGGGGAAACUGUGGGGGCGGGGGGAAAGAGAAGCACAUUAUAAUGUAACUAUCCUCUCAAAUGAACUUAGAGAUUGUCCUUCGUAAAAUGGAAUAUCUCCUUCUUCUCCAUUGUAGACAUUUCCUUGUGGUGCAUAUGUGGAAUAGUAGUCGUUCAGCAGCAAAUUGUCCUUCUUGUGCAUGUUCUGUUUGCAUGUAUAAUGCAAUAAACUCUGUAAACUACUGCGGUUCCUUUGGUUUUCUACAAAUGUUUGAAGCACAGAUGCAGUCUGACAAACUGAAUGCAAAAAAAACCACAAAAAACAAAAAACCAAAACAAAAAACCCAAAAAACAAAACAAAACAAAAAAAAAAGAGAAUGGAUAAAAAAAGUUGUAAAAUAUUAUGACCUAAACUGGACGUCCUCAUCCAAUCAACUUGUACAACUCGUAAAUGAUCCCGGCACAGCCACGGUCCCUCGCCCGGGGAAGCAGGCGUGGGCAGAAGACCAUGGGCAAGAAUCCCCCUUUCCCAGCGGGUUCCCUCAGCAGCUUGGAGUGUGAUUAGCAAGCCAAGGCUGUUGGAUUUACUUAAACACCCUGCCUCUCAUUGAUUAAGAAAUGAAUGGCAGAAAUCGCUCAAAGAAGGCCAUGAAAGCGAAGAAGUUUAUGGGAGUAGAUUCGUCCAGGGAGGUCACAGUGCGACCUCCAGGCCAUCAGGUGUUGCAGAGAGUUCAGAUUUUUCCUCUUGUAGCUUUGCACCAAAAUCCACCGUGUUUUCC